rnacentral:rRNA from 1 species
CAGCCGCCACGGUAAUACGUAGGGUGCGAGCGUUAAUCGGAAUUACUGGGCGUAAAGCGUGCGCAGGCGGUUGUGUAAGACAGGUGUGAAAUCCCCGGGCUUAACCUGGGAACUGCGCUUGUGACUGCACAGCUAGAGUAUGGCAGAGGGGGGUGGAAUUCCACGUGUAGCAGUGAAAUGCGUAGAGAUGUGGAGGAACACCGAUGGCGAAGGCAGCCCCCUGGGCCAAUACUGACGCUCAUGCACGAAAGCGUGGGGAGCAAACAGGAUUAGAUACCCGCGUAGUCCCUGUCUCUUAUAC